ACCAGACUCCUAUGGGAGGCAGCAGUGGGGAAUAUUGCACAAUGGGGGAAACCCUGAUGCAGCGACGCCGCGUGAGUGAAGAAGUAAUUCGUUAUGUAAAGCUCUAUCAGCAGGGAAGAAAAUGACGGUACCUGAGUAAGAAGCCCCGGCUAACUACGUGCCAGCAGCCGCGGUAAUACGUAGGGGGCAAGCGUUAUCCGGAUUUACUGGGUGUAAAGGGAGCGUAGACGGCAUGGCAAGUCAGAUGUGAAAGCCCGGGGCGCAACCCCGGGACUGCAUUUGAAACUGUCAGGCUGGAGUGCAGGAGAGGGAAGUGGAAUUCCUAGUGUAGCGGUGAAAUGCGUAGAUAUUAGGAGGAACACCAGUGGCGAAGGCGGCGUACUGGACUGUAACUGACGUUGAGGCUCGAAAGCGUGGGGAGCAAACAGGAUUAGAGACCCCUGUACAA
rnacentral:rRNA from 1 species